CGGAGCUCGGCGUCCCCACGUCCCGCCAUGGGGCUUCGGAGGACGUGGCCCGAGACACGAACCGGCCUCCUCAGGAGCCGCGCGGGAGGAGCAGGUGUUGUCCAGAUGUCUGAAUGCCUCCAUUGGGGUACCUCCGUUUCCAAUAGUCUAUAUUCCUCAAUUCCUGGACUGAGGUGUUAACAGUCUUCGUUGAAUGAAUUUCCACGAACGUCUUUUUUUGAUGAUCAUUGUGUGGAGAUAACUUCAUUGAAACUGUGAGAAGCUGUACCCAUGACAAAGGACACAGCAGAACCUGAUCAUGUGAACACAAGUGAAGGACACGGUGGGGACUGGCCACGCAGUUCUGGAUACAGAAAAAGAACAGACUUCCAUAAGUUUUGCAACACCACGUACUCUACUAGACAACAAACAGCGUGGGCGUCAUCCCUCAAAACACCCAUAAAGAGGCAAGUCAAACUACCACACCUGU